AGGAAUCUUGAGGCCACAGGAUAAACACAAUGCAUAUUUCUAGGGUUUCAGUUUUAUUUGAAGACUUCAGAAAACAAACAUUUUAUAUGAAAACAAAUAUAGAUAUACUAUGGAGUAGACUGUAUGCAUGUUAAAGAUAAAAGAUGAAACUUCAAAGAAAUUUCACACUUGCUGUGCUUCCCUUUGAACUAUACCCCCAUACUCCCUAUGUGGUUCUAUAAUUACAAAGAUAGGCUAAUAAAGGGCUUCGUGAUUCUUGAUACUAGGUACUCUCAAAUCCAGGCAGUUGUCAUAUUCAUUUUUUAAAAAUUCACUGCUAAUCCCUGCAACAGACAGAUCUGGAUCCUCCCCUGACGGGAAGCUUCCUGAGAAAGCCUCAGGCCCACAGAAAAUGGCACAGCUCCUCCUAUUAAAAGUGAAGAGAAAGAAAUCUGACACUUCAAGCUUCUGCAGCUGCUUUCUCUAUCAAUUUAUUUUCAUGGAUAUGUGAAACACCAAGUUCUUUAACAUGACUUUUCAGAUUUCUAGCAGCUCUUGAAUUUAUUUGACAACUUUAAUUGUCUAAAAUUAAGACUGAUUUUUUUUGUUGUUGUUUCUAAGAUUCAUCCUAGUAUCUGGUAGACAGUACAUGUCUUUAGUAAUGCUAAGAUUCUUGGUGAAUGUGCCUUUCUUCUCUAAAUAAAAAUAUCUAAGAGGGCUUCAUGUUAUUCUCUACCUCUAUGCAUCUCUUACAGUCAAAUUGGUCCCCUUGGAUAAAAGAUCAGCUCGCUCUCAUUCUGAAGCCCCAAAAUACUAAAUCCACAUUUUUCAGAGAGAUUUAGCAUAAAAAUUA
rnacentral:lncRNA from 10 species